rnacentral:tRNA from 1 species
CUAGUAGCUCAGCGGUCAGAGCACGCGACUCAUAAUCGUUUGGUCGCAGGUUCAAAUCCUGCCUA